rnacentral:rRNA from 1 species
UGGGGAAUAUUGCACAAUGGGCGCAAGCCUGAUGCAGCAACGCCGCGUGAGGGAUGACGGCCUUCGGGUUGUAAACCUCUUUUAGUAGGGAAGAAGCGAAAGUGACGGUACCUGCAGAAAAAGCACCGGCUAACUACGUGCUAGCAGCCGCGGUAAUACGUAGGGUGCGAGCGUUGUCCGGAAUUAUUGGGCGUAAAGAGCUCGUAGGCGGUCUGUCGCGUCUGCUGUGAAAACCCGAGGCUCAACCUCGGGCCUGCAGUGGGUACGGGCAGACUAGAGUGCGGUAGGGGAGAAUGGAAUUCCUGGUGUAGCGGUGGAAUGCGCAGAUAUCAGGAGGAACACCGAUGGCGAAGGCAGUUCUCUGGGCCGUAACUGACGCUGAGGAGCGAAAGCGUGGGGAGCGAACAGGAUUAGAUACCCUGGUAGUCCACGCCGUAAACGUUGGGCGCUAGAUGUGGGGACCAUUCCACGGUUU